rnacentral:lncRNA from 1 species
GAUGAAGAAGAAAAGGUAGCUUCACUAUUGUCUGAGCUUCGUCUUGAAGGGGUAGGUGCUGGGGAAGUUUUAAGGAGGGUAUCUCUUGAUGUUACAUCAGGGACAGAGAGUGCAAAUGGGAAUGAGGAAGUGCUUCUCAAGUUAUUGCAUGUGGUUCUUGAAGGGAAGGAUGAGAAGGCGAGGCGAGAGAUGAAAGGCUUAGUAUCCAAAAUGUUGCAUGAGAAUUCAUCUCAUAACGACCUGAGGAAGGAGUCACUGUAUUCGGCUUGCAAUGCAUGUCUGCAAUUGCUUCGCCACCAUUUUUUACGGACAGCAGAUGCAGACAUGGCGGAUGUGGGUCAGAUUGCACGACAGGCUGAUAAUCUGCAUUGGAUUUUGGAUAUCUUGAUUGAUAGACAGAUAGCUGAAGAUUUUUUGAGGACUUGGGCUUCUCAGUCUGAAUUAUCUGCGGCACAUCCUAAGGUGCCUGCACUUGCAAAUGGGAAUGAGGAAGUACUUCUCAAGUUAUUGCAUGUGGUUCUUGAAGGGAAGGAUGAGAAGGCGAGGCGAGAGAUGAAAGGCUU